rnacentral:lncRNA from 1 species
AACAGCUUCUCUUAGAUUCAACCUGCAAGGAUUACCUGAAAAAUAACAACAAGAGACAACAACAACAACUUUGUUCCUUCGUAUAUUCUCAUAACAUCAACACAACAUCAACUACAUCAACAUGACAUAUCAUUAUACAUGCAACAACAUCAACAUGGUUUCACCAUAUGAUAUUCCAAUAUGAUAUUAAUACCAUUCUAACAACAACACAACAACCAACAUCAUAUAUCAUGGAUUAACAACCAUAGAGUUGCAACACACCAAGAAGUUCAUAUAUCAAUCAUCAAUUUAACAAACAUAAUAAACAUCAUAAAUUCCUAACCCCCAAUUUCAUGAAAUUUCUCCCCAAAGCUAUAACUAAACUAAGAACUCACCUUGAGAUGAUGAAAUAGAGAUGAAGUUGGUGAAAAAGAUGAGAUGAAAUCAUGGUGUUUAUGAUGAUAAUGAUGGCAUCCAUGGCUAUCUUCUUCUUUCUCUUUUCUUCUUCCUUCUAGUUUUCUAUCUUUUUUUCUUUUCCUUUCCUUUCUUUUCUUCUUUCUGAUAUAUCUUCUUUUCUUCUUACCCACUUUUCUUCUCUACCACAUACAUAUAUAUAGUAUAAUAUAUAAUGUGUGGUUAGUAUUUAGAGUUGGUAACAAAAUAUCUCAAUUGAUAUUUUAUCUUCCAGCACCAAUU